GAUGAAGAACGCAGUGAAAUGCGAUAAGUAAUGUGAAUUGCAGAAUUCAGUGAAUCAUCGAAUCUUUGAACGCACCUUGCACCCUUUGGCAUUCCGAAGGGUAUGCUCGUUUGAGUGUCAUUGUACUCUCACACUUCCGAUCUUUGGAUUGGGAGCGGUGGACUUGGGUGUUGCUGCUUACUGUGGCUCACCUCAAAUCGAUUCGUGCACCUCUUGGUUGGACAUAGUACGGCGUGAUAAGUGUCUUCGCCGGCACCUCAGUAGAGGGUGGCUGAUCGGGAGCUCUGCUUCAAACCGUCCUCGGACAACAACUGACAACUUGACCUCAAAUCGAGUAGGACUACCCGCUGAACUUAAGCAUAUCAAUAAGCUGAGGA
rnacentral:misc_RNA from 1 species